rnacentral:rRNA from 1 species
UACGUAGGGUGCGAGCGUUAAUCGGAAUUACUGGGCGUAAAGCGUGCGCAGGCGGUUUUUUAAGACAGAUGUGAAAUCCCCGGGCUUAACCUGGGAAUGGCAUUUGGGACUGCAAGGCUCGAGUGCGGCAGAGGAGACUGGAAUUCCUGGUGUAGCAGUGAAAUGCGUAGAUAUCAGGAGGAACACCGAUGGCGAAGGCAGGUCUCUGGGCUGACACUGACGCUCAUGCACGAAAGCGUGGGGAGCAAACAGG